CCGGGUGGGGAGCCCACACUACCUUCUUCUUUUUCCUCCUCCUCCGGGUGAGGGGAGCGAAGGUUGGGGCCCCGACCCCAUGGACCGGGAAGAGGCGGAGGCCGCCGAGAGCCGGGGCCCCGCUGUGUGGCCCUGAGCCCCGUGAACGGGUUCCGUCUGUCUGAAAGGCCAUGGAGAAGAGGCUGGGAGUCAAGCCAAGCCCUGCUUCCUGGAUUUUAUCAGGAUUUUGUUGGCAGCUAUCUGUGAAAUGGUUGAGAAGCCUGUACCUGUUUUUCACUUGCUUCUGCUUCAGUGCUCUGUGGUUGUCAACAGAUGCCAGUGAGAGCAGGUGCCAGCAUGAGAAGACAGAAUUUGGAGUUGGCCUGAGAUCUGGGGGAGAAAAUCACCUCCGGCUUCUUGAAGGAACCCCCUCUCUCCAGUUGUGUUGGGCUGCUUGCUGCCAGCAUUCUGCCUGCCAUGCCUUUUGGUGGUUAGAAGGGAUGUGCAUUCAGGCAGACUGCAGCAGGCCCCGGAGCUGCCAGACUUUCAGGACAGACUCUUCCAAUUCCAUGCUGGUGUUUUUUAAAAAAUUCCAAACUGCAGAUGGUUUGGGCUAUCCACCUGAAGAAGAUGAACCACAUAUUCUGGGGCUAGGUUGGAGCAGGGUAUCUUGGAGGAGACAGAAUCCACCCAGAGCUCCACUCAGACCCACUGUAUCUUCUAGUGACCAGCAGAGCUUAAUCAGGAAGCUUCGGAAGAGAGAUAGUCCCAGUGAAGAAGUAGCUACACAUACAGUGACACAGCAUUCUGAAAUGAAUGACUCCAAGGAAGUAGGUGAUCUGAAUACCAGUGGUUCUGCAGAGGUCCACAAGGCCGGUGUAAUUUCCAGUCCCUUAACCACAGUCCUGACUGCGGAGACUCCUGGUUGGUCAAAGAAUGUGUCAGUCCAGCCUGAGACAUCAGAGGAUCCUGGUGCUACGCCUAGCACUCAGCACAUAAAAAGCCCUGGGAGAAUCCAGAUUGUUACCCCUCUGCCAGUGGCUCCCUCCUACAGUUAUGCUACCCCUACCCCCCAGGCCUCUUUCCAGAGCACCUCAGCACCAUACCCAGUUAUAAAGGAGCUGGUGGUAUCCGCUGGAAAGAGUGUCCAGAUCACCCUGCCUAAAAAUGAAGUUCAGUUAAAUGCAUUUGUUCUGCAAGAACCACUUGAAGGAGAAACCUACACCUACGACUGGCAGCUGAUUACUCAUCCCGAAGACUACAGUGGCGAGAUGGAAGGGAAACAUUCCCAGAUCCUCAAACUAUCCAAGCUUACUCCAGGCCUGUAUGAAUUCAGAGUGAUUGUAGAUGGUCAAAAUACCCAUGGGGAAGGCUAUGUGAACGUGACAGUAAAACCAGAGCCUCGUAAGAAUCGGCCUCCUGUUGCCAUUGUGUCACCACAGUUCCAGGAGAUCUCUUUGCCAACCACUUCUACAGUCAUUGAUGGCAGCCAAAGCACUGAUGAUGAUAAAAUCGUCCAGUACCAUUGGGAAGAACUUAAGGGACCUCUGAGAGAAGAGAAGAUUUCUGAAGAUACGGCCAUAUUAAAACUAAGUAAGCUCGUCCCUGGGAACUACACUUUCAGCUUGACUGUAGUAGACUCUGAUGGAGCAACCAGCUCUACCACUGCGAGCCUGACAGUGAACAAAGCUGUGGAUUAUCCCCCUGUGGCCAAUGCGGGCCCCAACCAAGUGAUCACCCUGCCCCAAAACUCCAUCAUCCUCUUUGGGAACCAGAGCACCGAUGAUCAUGGCAUCACCAGCUAUGAGUGGUCACUCAGCCCAAGCAGCAAGGGGAAAGUGGUGGAGAUGCAGGGUGUUAGAACACCAACCCUGCAGCUCUCUGCCAUGCAAGAAGGAGACUACACUUACCAGCUCACAGUGACUGACACGAUAGGACAGCAGGCCACUGCUCAAGUGACUGUUAUUGUGCAGCCUGAAAACAACAAGCCUCCACAAGCAGAUGCAGGCCCGGAUAAGGAGCUGACCCUUCCUGUGGACAGCACAACCCUGGAUGGCAGCAAAAGCUCAGAUGAUCAGAAAAUUAUCUCAUAUCUCUGGGAGAAAACACAGGGACCCGAUGGGGUGCAGCUCGAGAAUGCUAACAGCAGUGUCGCCACUGUGACAGGGCUACAAGUAGGAACCUACGUGUUUACCUUGACCGUCAAAGAUGAGAGGAACCUGCAAAGCCAAAGUUCUGUGAAUGUCAUUGUCAAAGAAGAAAUGAACAAACCACCUGUAGCCAAGAUAACUGGGAGUGUGGUGAUUACCUUGCCCACGGACACAGCAGAACUGGAUGGCUCCAAGUCCUCAGAUGAUAAGGCAAUAGUCAGCUACCUCUGGACCCGAGAUGAGGGGAGCCCAGCGGCAGGGGAGGUGCUGAAUCACUCUGACCACCACCCGAUCCUCUUUCUUUCCAACCUGGUUGAGGGCACCUACACAUUUCACCUGCAUGUGACUGAUGCGAAGGGGGAAAGUGACACAGACCGGACCACCGUGGAGGUGAAGCCUGAUCCCAGGAAAAACAACCUGGUGGAGAUCAUCUUGGAUGUCAACGUCAGUCAGCUAACUGAGAGGCUGAAGGGGAUGUUCAUCCGCCAGAUUGGGGUCCUCCUGGGGGUGCUGGAUUCCGACAUCAUUGUGCAAAAGAUUCAGCCGUACACGGAGCAGAGCACCAAGAUGGUAUUUUUUGUUCAAAACGAGCCUCCCCACCAGAUCUUCAAAGGCCAUGAGGUGGCAGCGAUGCUCAAGAAUGAGCUGCGGAAGCAAAAAGCAGACUUUCUGAUAUUCAGAGCCCUGGAAAUCAAUACUGUCACAUGCCAGUUGAACUGUUCUGACCAUGGCCACUGUGAUUCAUUCACCAAACGCUGUAUUUGUGACCCUUUUUGGAUGGAGAAUUUCAUCAAGGUGCAGUUGAGGGACGGAGACAGCAACUGUGAGUGGAGCGUGUUGUAUGUUAUCAUUGCUUCCUUUGUCAUCGUUGUCGCCCUGGGAAUCCUGUCCUGGACUGUGAUCUGUUGUUGUAAGAGGCAGAAAGGAAAACCCAAGAGGAAAAGCAAGUAUAAGAUCCUAGAUGCCACGGAUCAGGAGAGCCUGGAACUGAAGCCAACCUCCCGAGCAGAUAGAUCCAUGGGCUCCGCUGGUGGCUUAGAACAGGCAGGAGGGCAGCUUCCCUGCUGGUCCCAGUGCACAGGACUCGUCUUUCAGGUGCCUCCCACCAAGGAAUCACCAACUGCACAAGCACUGAGAUGGCUUGGGUGAUGGGGCUGGCGGUCAGGGUGCGCAGGGGCUCCCUUCCUUGGCUGGGUGUCGUCAUGGGUGAGGUUUCCAUUCAUCAUCAUGAGGCCACAGGACCUGCAUCGCCUGUUUAUGGGACUCUAACCUAAACACUCUGCCAACAGAACUGUUUUUAUACAAAGCAUUUAUCAAACAUGUUCAUACUUAAAGCUUUGUAUUAGGAGAGGCUGGAGGGGAAAACAGAGAGUUCUGACACCCUGGCUCUGCCCUUGGAAUUUCAGUCUACUGAGGGAGCACAGACACAUUAGAGGAAAAAAAAAAAAAUGCUCUCAGGCGGCCUGGGCUCUGCACCCAUGCACCUUGGGUAGAGAACAUCUUGGGGUGGUACCUGGAGGUGGUGGGGCUUGUAAAACCAGAGAAGUAGAAACACUGAAAUGGAGCCUGGAGGUAAAAACGUGCACAGUCCACCCCCCAGCUGGUGGCCAAGGUUGUUUUCAUGUUACUCUGAAAGUUUUCCCACCCCUCGAAAUCCUUUGGUGACUGACUUUGGGUCUGGCUAACGUGGCCUUGGGUGAGCUCUUAUCUGUUGGCUUCUCUGAGAUCUAUCGCCUUGUUGACUUGGUUCAUAUUUCUGUCCAGAAAGCUUUGUCAUUUUUGUCAUCCCUCCCUUAACCUGUAAAUGUCAUGCUCAUCUGUCACGUGACUGUUUUGGAAUUUCUGUCCCUAUAUUAGUUCUGUAUCUUUCCCCUACCAGUCAGUGACAUUGGUGAGGGCAGAGAUUGUGUCUUAUUCCUCUGUGCAUAUGGAUUGAGACCACUGUUUGCCAGGCCCUCUGCCAGAUACCAGUUACAUACGGUGAGCCAGACAGACUCUGCUGCUCUGGAGCUUCUAUGAGACAGACAUGAAAUAUGCAAACUCCCAGAUACACAGCAUGUGAUAAUGAAAGGUCUUUGUAAAGAAGAACACUUGAACUGAGACCCAAGGGACGAGUAGGAGUUAGCCACAUAAGGACUCUGUGAAAGCGCAUUCCAGGCGAAGGAGCAAAGUCGGUAAAGGGCCAGCUGCUGGAAGCAGCAGAGGGCAUUUGAGGAAAUAGAGGAAGGUGACAUACUGGACAUGGUGAGCACGGGGCCAGUGGCAUGAGGCUGCACAGGUGAGCAGGGACCUAGCUGUGGGCUCCUUCUGAGAGUAGUGGGCAGCCACAGGCAGCUUUUUAAGCAGGUGAAUGGUCUGAUUUGGUUUACAUUUUAAAAAGAGACAACCCUGGCUGCUGUGUAGGAAUCAGACGGGCAAGAGCAGGUAAAAGAGGAUUCAGUGGAAUGUCCUAAUGGUGGAGAGAUGGUAAGAUAGGGAGAGGCACGUAGAUUCCAGGUAUCUUUGCAGGGAAGACUUGAUGCAGUUUGUGGCAUGUUAGCCGAGAGGUGUGGGAGAAAAGGAGACGUGCAAGCUGGUCCUGGAGCUUCUGCUCUGAGCAGGUGUGGGUUGGGUGGUACUGGAGAGGAAAUGCCGGAGAAGAGAAGUGUUUGCUUCAGGACGCUUGCGAAUGGUGUUGAGGAAAUGAGGCUGGAAGAUUGGUGAGGACAAAAGUGCGGAAGGUUUUGAACAUCAGCCAGGGUUAAGCAUUAAUUCUGAUGGUGACAGGAAGUGUCAUCUUGAAAGUGCUGGCUUAGGAAAAUUAGUCUCUAAUGACACCUGUAAUUGACUGAAGGGGAGAUAUCCCAUGUGGAGGCCAGCAAGGAGACUUUUGCAGUGGUCCGAGAGGGAGGUGACGAUGACUCGACCAACAUGGGGUCAACAAGAUGGAGGACGGGAAAGGUCAGGGCUGACUUCUGACCUGAGGGACAGAGAAUGAUUCUGUAGACACAAUUAAGACAUCAGUGCAGUGCCGGCUGGGGUAACAAAAGAUGAAUUCACUUGAACCCAGUAGAACAGUUGGACUACAAGUGUCAGUGUAAGAAUCUUCUACAUGCUGGUGAGGGCCAAAACAAAAGUGGGUCACAUCCCUUCUGGGGAAAAUGUUGAGGGACCAAAGAGUCCAGAGCUGAGGAGCCCAUGAAGGGCCGUCAGUGAGGGAAGAGGUGCACCGUUAGGGAGCGGUCAGCAGUAUUAGCUGUUGCAGACAGGGAUAAGAACUGUCCAUGAAGAUGACACUGGGGAAGUUUCUGGUCACCUGAAGAGCUAGAGUAGAAUGGUGAAUGGUAGCAGAAGUGAAAAUGUAGGUUGUUCCAGCAGUAAGUAUGCAGUGAGGAAAUGGAAGCCCUAAAUAUUGAAAAAAAGUCCUUUAGAAGUGAAGCAGGGUGAGGCAGAAGACAGAGGUAAGGCUCCUGAGGAGAGAGGGAAUGGGGCUCAAGAAAGGAGAGGGUGGGGGACACAGGGCUGGGUGAUAGCACCAGGAAGUGCUGCGUUGAAGAGGCAAAAUGGGCAGGAGGCAGACAUCCAGUGAAGGGGGGGCAGCAAGGGAGAGCCCAGUUGCAUCUGGGUCACCAGGAGGAGAAAGAGGAGAGUCAGGAGGCCCUUCUCUGUGGGCAGUGUGUAGCUGAGGGACAGGUGAGAGCCCCCUUGCACUUGGUCUUCUGGCUCUGGCCAGCAGAUCAGUUGUGGACUCAGCAGAUUAGUGGGUGCACCGCAGAGCAGAGCCACUAGCAGGUAGGGGAGAAGGGGAUUCAAGCCUGUCAACGUAAGGCACGGAAGCUGAUAGGUUGAAGCGUGGAUUUAACAGGCCCCUUGCGAAGAAAGGUAAUGCACGUGGAAGCGCGCUGACAGAGACCCUGUUUGCUGGGAACCAGGCUGAGCUCUGAUGAGGGCUGCCUGGGGAGCCGGUGCACCCGCCUGGGUGAGCUCCCAAGGCAAGCCUCAGGAGACCUGCUUUCCGUUCAGCGACUGUGGUUUUGGGUUUGUUUUUGCUAUUCUAUUGAUUUUCCAAAGCUUUCUUUUGAAGCAUAUUAGAUUGAACCAUACAAAAUUAAUAGUGUGUGACUUUUUUGAACCCAUAAAAAUGGUAGUUUUUUGUGGUUCAGCCCAGCGGACAGCUGGAUAGGUUUCCUGCAAGUGAACGUGCCCAUAUAAUCAGCUCCCUUUCUUUCCCGUCAUCCUCUUCCUCCUGCCAACGUACUUCUGAUAUUUUAGUUUAUAUAAAGGGAAUCACUGUAUUUGGCCCUUUCCAUUCACCAUUACACUUAUGACUUCCCGACGUGCUGUCAGGCAGAGCAGUCGUUUGUCCAUUUCCUGCUGUGUAAUUUCCACUGUAU